GACGAACGCUGGCGGCGUGCCUAAUACAUGCAAGUCGAGCGAAGCGGCGGAUGGGUGAGUAACGCGUGGGUCACCUGCCCUUAAGUCUGGGAUACCAUUUGGAAACAGAUGCUACUACCGGAUACUAAAGGAUGGACCUGCGAUGCAUUAGCUAGUUGGGAAGGUAACGGAUUACCAAGGCGAUGAUGAAUAGCAUAGUUGAGAGACUGAUCGGCCUAAUUGUGACUGAGACACUGCCCUAACUCCUACGGUAGGCAGCAGUAGGGAAGCCUCCACAAUGGACGAAAGUCUGAUGGAGCAACGCCGCGUGAGUGAAGAGGGUUUUCAGAUCGUAAAGCUCUGUUGUUGGUGAAGCGGUAAUCAACCAGAAAGUCACGGCUAACUACGUGCCAGCAGCCGCGGUAAUUC
rnacentral:rRNA from 1 species